GAUUGCGGAUCCCACUGACCCCUAUGGUGAUGAUGGAUUAAGAUACCCAAUAUGAUUUGUUGGAGCAAACAACGAUGGAGGUUGGGGAAUCAAAGAAGUAAAUUAUUGCAUCGAUUAUUAUUAGCUGCUCUUUUAGCUUUUCUUCUUGUAGUUCUUUCUUUCUUGUGAGCAUUUUGAUGUCCUCUCAAAGCUUGAGAGCUGUAGAAAUUUCUAGAACAAAUUGACAAGGAAAAGACUCCAUGGUUUUCUGUUCAUCAUUAACAGCAACCAUUCUACUUUCCAUUUGUUUUAGCCUUGAAAAUAAU
rnacentral:lncRNA from 1 species